GCCAGACUCCUACGGGAGGCAGCAGUGGGGAAUAUUGCACAAUGGGGGAAACCCUGAUGCAGCGACGCCGCGUGAGUGAAGAAGUAUUUCGGUAUGUAAAGCUCUAUCAGCAGGGAAGAAAAUGACGGUACCUGACCAAGAAGCCCCGGCUAACUACGUGCCGGCAGCCGCGGUAAUACGUAGGGGGCAAGCGUUAUCCGGAUUUACUGGGUGUAAAGGGAGCGUAGACGGUUGUGCAAGUCAGAAGUGAAAGCCCGGGGCUCAACCCCGGAACUGCAUUGGAAACUGUAUUUCUAGAGUGUCGGAGAGGCAAGUGGAAUUCCUGGUGUAGCGGUGAAAUGCGUAGAUAUCAGGAGGAACACCAGUGGCGAAGGCGGCUUGCUGGACGAUGACUGACGUUGAGGCUCGAAAGCGUGGGGAGCAAACAGGAUUAGAUACCCCCGUACA
rnacentral:rRNA from 1 species